UGCUAGACCUUUCAGGACCUUUCAAAACAAAGCGUGGGUCAGCACUAAUUGUGCCCAGUGCCCAGCAGUACCCAGGACUGUUUACACCUCUGCCAACGGCAUCAUCCAUCUGCUGUGAGGGAUCCUUGUGACUCCACCUCCUCCUGGAAUUCGAUUUGAAGGAGCCGCUGAGAGACGUUUUUUUUUUUCAACUGAAGCGAGAACCACUCUGUCAGGAAACAGUUCUUCUGGACCAGAUUGUUAAGACGGAAGAUGUCUUUAAAGAGACGGCUGCUCUCCAUGUUGCUGUGCUGUGUUUACUGCGUGGCCUCGCUCUUUUGCCUCAACCCACAACGCAUCAACUGCUUCUCUGCCGGAGCUCGGAAUAUGGCGUCGGUCGUCCAACAGCUUUACCAGCGUGUCAUCCGGCUGCUUCGCACCACGCUGUGAGUCCUCGUGUUGAACAAAUAACACCGGACCUGUCCUGGCCUCCAAGUAUGCCCUCUAUCAGUGCAUUGGUAAAUAAAAAGAAGAAGAAGAAGAAGAAGAAGCAGAAGAAGUGGAAUGGCGUCGCGCCGCUCUUGAACUGUGCCGUUUUUAUCCACUCUAAAUUCAACUGCCCAUUUGAGUUCAUUAGAUGUAGAAGAGUAAUUAAAAAUGUCUAUUUUUCUACUGAUAAUGGUUAACAUUGUGGACGUUUGCUGUGUGCGAACUGGAAAGGACGUCUGCAGUCCUGUUUUAAAUGCAUUUUGAUGGGUUCAAUGUGAACUUGGCUGCUCCGUAAAAAGCCAGGAGGUUGGCAAUUCAAAUUCCAGGACACUCUCUGAGUAUUAUUGCUUCAGAAUAUUUGAAAAUGCAAGGGCCAACUCUUCACUUCAGGCAGGUAAGUUACUCCCUUGACAGGUCUGCUACUAUUUUUUUUUUUUUUUUGUGAACCAUGUUCAGACUGAAGCUUCAAAUAUAAAAAACUGUAUGCGUUAAAAGUUACCCAAGGAACAUAAAUGAACUUGUAUGCCUCUUAAACACAGUGAUAACACAUAGCUUGUUCUUUGCAAAUAUAAGUUAUUGUUGUACAUCAAACAUAAUCCUCAAACACUAAAGCCCUACAGCCUUUUACCAGUAUUGAAUGAGUUGUGUCAUUUAAAGAAGAAGAAGGAGAAGAAGAAGAAGACAAUGUGUAUUAAAUUGUCUUGUUUGUCUUGUUUGCCUAUGCAAAGUGUACGCUCAUGGAAUUGAACAGCUGAUCCGAGACAUUUGUGUGUAGCUAAAACCCCCUCAAAGCAUUCCCUUACAUUCCCUUACAAACAGUGAUUUCACACAAAUAAAGUUGUUG